CCUACGGGAGACAGCAGUGGGGAAUAUUGGGCAAUGGGCGCAAGCCUGACCCAGCAACGCCGCGUGAAGGAAGAAGGCUUUCGGGUUGUAAACUUCUUUUCUCAGGGACGAAGAAAGUGACGGUACCUGAGUAAUAAGCCACGGCUAACUACGGGCCAGCAGCCGCGGUAAUACGUAGGUGGCAAUCGUUAUCCGGAUUUAUUGGGUGUAAAGGGCGUGUAGGCGGGAGCGCAAGUCAGAUGUGAAAACUCAGGGCUCAACCCUGAUCGUGCAUUUGAAACUGUGUUUCUUGAGUGCUGGGGAGGUAAUCGGAAUUCCGGGUGUAGCGGUGAAAUGCGUAGAUAUACGGAGGAACACCAGUGGCGAAGGCGGAUUGCUGGACAGUAACUGACGCUGAGGCGCGAAAGCGUGGGGAGCAAACAGGAUUAGAUACCCCAGUAGUC
rnacentral:rRNA from 1 species